AUAUUUACCUGGCGAAGACAAUAUCAUGAUUAUAAAGGUGGUUUGUCCAGAGCCAGCCUUAGCCAUUGUAAUUGGAUUGACUGAUUUCUGCGAACUUCUCAAAUGUGGGAAUUUCAUCUGCAUAGUUUAUGACAGUGGGGGACUGUGACUGCCCUCUCCCCUG
rnacentral:snRNA from 1 species